rnacentral:rRNA from 1 species
GAUGAACGCUAGCGGCAGGCUUAACACAUGCAAGUCGAGGGGCAGCGGGGUGUAGCAAUACAUCGCCGGCGACCGGCGCACGGGUGCGUAACACGUAUGGAAUCUGCCCUCUACUGGGGAAUAGCCCGGAGAAAUCCGGAUUAAUGCCCCAUAACAAGCGAGGUGGCAUCACCUUGCUUUGUAAAGCUCCGGCGGUAAAGGAUGACCAUGCGCACGAUUAGCUAGUUGGUGAGGUAACGGCUCACCAAGGCUACGAUCGUUAGGGGGCCGU